CAAGUACUCCCUCCGUCCGGAAUUACUUGUCAUCAAAAUGGAUGUGUCUAGAACUAAAAUACAUCUCGAUACAUCCAUUUCAAUGACAAGUAUUUUCAGACAGAGGGAGUACAAG
rnacentral:pre_miRNA from 1 species